rnacentral:rRNA from 1 species
UGGGGAAUCUUCCGCAAUGGACGAAAGUCUGACGGAGCAACGCCGCGUGAGUGAAGACGGCCUUCGGGUUGUAAAGCUCUGUUAUUCGGGAAGAACGAUUCGUUUGUGAACAAUGAACGGAAGUGACGGUACCGAAAGAGAAAGCCACGGCUAACUACGUGCCAGCAGCCGCGGUAAUACGUAGGUGGCAAGCGUUGUCCGGAAUUAUUGGGCGUAAAGAGCGCGUAGGCGGUAUGGUAAGUCUGUCUUAGAAGUGCGGGGCUUGACCCCGUGAGGGGACAGAGACUGUCAAACUGGAGUCUCGGAGAGGAAAGCGGAAUUCCUAGUGUAGCAGUGAAAUGCGUAUAGAUUAGGAAGAACACCGGUGGCGAAGGCGGCUUUCUGGACGAGCACUGACGCUGAGGCGCGAAAGCGUGGGUAUCGAACCGG